rnacentral:rRNA from 1 species
GCUUAACACAUGCAAGUCGAACGGCAGCAGGCUUUAAUACCUUCGGGUGUUAAAGUGCUGGCGAGUGGCGGACGGGUGAGUAAUGCGUAGGAAUCUGUCCUAAAGCGGGGGAUAACCCGGGGAAACUCGGGCUAAUACCGCAUACGCUCUGAGGAGGAAAGCUAGGGACCUUCGGGCCUGGCACUUUAGGGUGAGCCUACGUUGGAUUAGCUAGUUAGUAGGGUAAAGGCCUACCAAGGCGACGAUCCAUAGCUGAUCUGAGAGGAUGAUCAGCCACACUGGGACUGAGACACGGCCCAGACUCCUACGGGAGGCAGCAGUGGGGAAUAUUGGACAAUGGGGGGAACCCUGAUCCAGCCAUGCCGCGUGUGUGAAGAAGGCCUUAUGGUUGUAAAGCACUUUAAGCGAGGAGGAGGCUCUUUUGGUUAAUACCCAAGAUGAGUGGACGUUACUCGCAGAAUAAGCACCGGCUAACUCUGUGCCAGCCGCCGCGGUAAGAC